CGCCUGCGCUCACACAAGCAUGUGAAUGUGUGUGUGUGUGUGUGUGUGUGUGCCAAGCAUCACUGCUUUAACUGCCUCACGUCCGACACGACAGGCAAGAGGGCUUGACUCGGAUUGGGAAAGGUGUGCACACAAACAUAUUCGACGGACAAGGGAACCUCUGUGUGUUUUGUGUCUCUCCCCGACACACGCCUCUCUCACACACCGUGGCUGUCCAUACUCCCAUAAGCACGCACAUACGGAUGCAGAGAGACUCCUACGCGACGAUUGUGCGAUACCCCAACCGGCGCAAGUUCCCGGUGCGGGUGUUGCAGAUGAACGGCGCCGUGUUCCACGAAAAUCUUAUUGAGGACUUCUUCAUUGGAUAUCGCAACCGCCGCUUGGCGCUCAUGACGCACACACCCGGCCAAGACCCAAGACUUCCUCGACUGCCGAAGGACAUCAUCGUUCCCAACUACAAAACGUUCUUGCAGAUUCACCAGCCGCACUUCAUGUACCGACUCCUGCCUCUGCUGAGCUCGGACGUGGAGGCCUUUGCAGCGAUGCAGGCAAUCUGUGCCAGCCCGGGAUCGCCAUUUACGAUUGAGGACCGCCUCGAAUCGCAGCUGCUUAACUACCGGUUGUCCAAAUUGUGCGCUGGUCGUGACAAGAUCUGCGAGUUCUUCAAGGACUACACAACUCAAGAGGAGCUGCGGAUGCCCUCCGCGACGCGUGCUUUGCCGAUCCAGGGAAUCUUCUUCCAGGGGCUCAUGCUGCGCGAUGGGUGUGUGGCGACAACGUCGCAUACAAGGGCUCUCACACCGGCUGCAACCGCAGAAGCGGCAGCGGCGUCGUCCUCGACAAGCACUGGCGACAGCGGAAGAAAGCCGUCGGGAGCCGCCGGCCCAAUCGACGACGGGGCAGUCGUUGCGGGAAGCACGGAUGGGGGCCUCAAUGGUGGUCUGCAAACCUCCUACAAGAAACGAGUCAAGGCAUCCAUCGCGGCCCUCCUCACCACCCAUGACGUACUCAGCGAAGCUGUCAUCACCCAACGGGCCCUCAUGGCGAAGUUCUUCGAAUCCGAUUUGUACAACCAAUUCGGAACGGCGUCGACGAUCGCCGCGAAGGUGCGCUCGGUGGAUGAACGAAUGCACUUCAUGGCCGUAAAGCGGUUGUGCGCGGGGCGGACGAACACGGCAGAGAAUGUGCGAACUCGUGCGCACCUCCUCGAACUCGCAAGGAAGCAGAACUUACACGUGUACGAAAAGAUCAGCGAAGGCGAAUACGCCUACGCCGCAACGUGACACGAAGCAAAGGAUGCAGCGAAGCGGGGUGAACAGUGGCAAGGGACCUCCGAAAGCUCGCUGUAGCGCGAUAAGGCACCUCCCCCUCCCUCGCCUCCUCCGCUGUCUCUUAGCACAACAAUCCAAAUGUGGACACCCCGUGCUUCUCCGUCCGCUAUACGUACCUUCCCCCGCCCCUGUCCUCGCUCACAAGCUCACGCACGGGGGCGCACGCACGUAUGCUCAUGUACACCGUCCUUGGCCCUCCUCCACCAUCAAGGAUACGCAUGAGCGGGCGUGCCUCUUAUGCUCAGCUCUGUGUGUGUCUUGUUGUUGCUUGGCUUGUUUUCUUCUCCUUCACCACGUACUUCACAG
rnacentral:misc_RNA from 1 species